GCCUCCUUGUGCAAUAUUUCCCUUUGUCAAUCGACAGUUCUCUCUUCUUCAGCUUUGGGUGAUAUGCAUUGUGUCUUGGUCAAUCUUGCAUGGAGCUUCUUCCAGCUUGCAUAAAUGAGACUUUGUUGUAUUUUUGCAUCGAGGGAUCUAGUCAACUGAGAACUGUUACCUCUCUAUGUUUGGGUGAACAAUCUGAACAUAAAUCGACCUCUAUUUACCACCCCAUUGAUUAGAAGAGACAACUCAAUUGUUAGGCAUGGAUUUCAUUGCUUAUAUUGGCUACAAUAUAGACAUACAGGGAAAUCAACUAGUGCAAGUGGACUACACCAUUUACUUAGGCAAACCAAGAAACCAAAGUCCUUUCAGGGGAUUAUGUAUGGCUAUAUUUGUAUCGAAGCUUUACUAAACUAAGCAUUUUUUCAGAUUUCACUUGUUGUACACGCUCAAAUAAUUCACAUCCAAAGUAAAAAAGGUAGUACCAAAGCACCUGAGUAGAAGUACCGCCGGAGUUGAGGACUACUUUUCGUCGGAGUUGAGGAGAAGUACCGCCAUAAGCUGAGUGACGAUUUGCUUUCCGCCGCUGAAUAAGGCUAAGUGUUGUUUACAAUCAAAUCUUCUCAAAAAGAUGGAUAUCAGUGAGAUUUCGCCAUUGAGCAAGGAUUAAUGUGGGCGCUAAUCGUGGGUUAAUUGAUAUGCUAGGAUUUCUCAGUUGAAGUGUAAAAUUAGAUCAGGGUAAUUAGAAGGAAAAAGGGGGCAAUUAAGAUG